rnacentral:rRNA from 1 species
CUUAACACAUGCAAGUCGAGGGGCAUCAGGAAGAAAGCUUGCUUUCUUUGCUGGCGACCGGCGCACGGGUGAGUAACACGUAUCCAACCUGCCCUUUACUCGGGGAUAGCCUUUCGAAAGAAAGAUUAAUACCCGAUAGCAUAAUGAUUCCGCAUGGUUUCAUUAUUAAAGGAUUCCGGUAAAGGAUGGGGAUGCGUUCCAUUAGGUUGUUGGUGAGGUAACGGCUCACCAAGCCUUCGAUGGAUAGGGGUUCUGAGAGGAAGGUCCCCCACAUUGGAACUGAGACACGGUCCAAACUCCUACGGGAGGCAGCAGUGAGGAAUAUUGGUCAAUGGGCGGUAGCCUGAACCAGCCAAGUAGCGUGAAGGAUGAAGGCUCUAUGGGUCGUAAACUUCUUUUAUAUAAGAAUAAAGUGCAGUAUGUAUACUGUUUUGUAUGUAUUAUAUGAAUAAGGAUCGGCUAACUCCGUGCCAGCAGCCGCGGUAAUACGGAGGAUCCGAGCGUUAUCCGGAUUUAUUGGGUUUAAAGGGAGCGUAGGUGGACUGGUAAGUCAGUUGUGAAAGUUUGCGGCUCAACCGUAAAAUUGCAGUUGAUACUGUCAGUCUUGAGUACAGUAGAGGUGGGCGGAAUUCGUGGUGUAGCGGUGAAAUGUUUAGAUAUCACGAAGAACUCCGAUUGCGAAGGCAGCUCACUGGACUGCAACUGACACUGAUGCUCGAAAGUGUGGGUAUCAAACAGGAUUAGAUACCCUGGUAGUCCACACAGUAAACGAUGAAUACUCGCUGUUUGCGAUAUACAGUAAGCGGCCAAGCGAAAGCAUUAAGUAUUCCACCUGGGGAGUACGCCGGCAACGGUGAAACUCAAAGGAAUUGACGGGGGCCCGCACAAGCGGAGGAACAUGUGGUUUAAUUCGAUGAUACGCGAGGAACCUUACCCGGGCUUAAAUUGCAGUGGAAUGAUGUGGAAACAUGUCAGUGAGCAAUCACCGCUGUGAAGGUGCUGCAUGGUUGUCGUCAGCUCGUGCCGUGAGGUGUCGGCUUAAGUGCCAUAACGAGCGCAACCCUUAUCUUUAGUUACUAACAGGUUAUGCUGAGGACUCUAGAGAGACUGCCGUCGUAAGAUGUGAGGAAGGUGGGGAUGACGUCAAAUCAGCACGGCCCUUACGUCCGGGGCUACACACGUGUUACAAUGGGGGGUACAGAAGGCAGCUAGCGGGUGACCGUAUGCUAAUCCCAAAAGCCUCUCUCAGUUCGGAUCGAAGUCUGCAACCCGACUUCGUGAAGCUGGAUUCGCUAGUAAUCGCGCAUCAGCCACGGCGCGGUGAAUACGUUCCCGGGCCUUGUACACACCGCCCGUCAAGCCAUGGGAGCCGGGGGUACCUGAAGUACGUAACCGCAGGGAUCGUCCUAGGGUAAAACUGGUGACUGGGGCUAAA